CUGCGGGGCUCCGGUGCCGCGCCUCGGGACCGCUCCGAGAAGUUCUCUCUUUCCUACCUUCUUUGUUUUCCCCCUUGCUUCCCCGCUGAGAACUUCUCGCAGUGUGUGAGGAGAUGAAUGUUUCGGAUAAAUGACAUAGCAACACGUAGCUCGCCUCGGUACCAAACUGCGUCGCGUCGGGUCGCUGCCACGGCGCUCCGGAGCAUAGUCUCCAGCCUGGCAGAGGUGAGGGCUGUGGGCCUUGUGCCUCUAUACUGGGUCUGUGGCAGAGCAGCAUGUCUUACCGUUCUGAUGGGAAAGGCUGAUGUGAGCAGAGGAACACCAAUCUGAGCAGGACAUAAAUGCCGAGUGCCAUUGAUGGCACAAGUGCUGGGUAACUCUCCUCCUCCUUUAUGCUCUCAGCUGAAGAACAAUGGCUUCCUUCAGCAACCUGACUAUUGGUAUUGCUCUUGCCAGUUUUACCAUAUUCCAGCUCCUGUUCCAUGUUUUAAGCUCUUGGGUAUCCACGCGGAUAACACCUGGUUUUAGCAAUCUCAGCCAAAAAAGGAAGAUUGAAUGGAAUUCAAGGUAAAGUGUUCAAAACAAAUGGUAGCUAAUGAACUACCACCUGUGUGUGUAUGUAUCAAAAAAACUACAGAUAAGGAUAUUGGUUAAACAUGCACAAAGAUUAGCAGGACAGUUCUAUGCGCUUAACAAAGUCUGCAUGUCGAAGAAAAAUCUCCUCCUUGGACAUGGAGUUACAAACACCUGUAUAUUAAGCGGUUCUUUAGAUCAUGAUGCUCAAGUGAAAAAGGAAGUAAAAGAAAAUAGUGAUUGGUGAGAGGUACUAAGUUAAUGUGGAUUAAUUUUAGAUGACUUCUCAUGAUGCUUCUAGUUAGAGAAUGAGUACGAAAUUCCUUUCACCCAGACAUACAUGAAAAUCAUAUCUAUUUCAAUUUAUUCUAUGACCUUACUGAUGGUAUUUCUCUGGGUCAUGCUUUUGUGUGCAAAGCAAGUUACUCUCAUUUCUCACUACUACUACACUGCAUCCUGCUUUAGAUAGGUUUUCCAAGAUAUUUGCUAAAUUGUCAUUGUAGUAUUGUGGUGAGGCAGAGUUAUGCUACAGCUUCAGGACAGCUACAUCUGUGUUUUGAUGAGGAAGGGGAGGAGGAUGUUGUGAGAUGUAGGGUAAGUGUUCAGAAAGGAGUUGUGGAAAAUUGGUCUAAAAACCUGCCUUGCUCCCUUUGUGUCUCUACAGUCCUGCCAUUGGUAUGUGUGUACUUGUGCUACUCCUGUCCCUUGGACAGGGCAUAGGCAGCAGCUUGUGCAGCCCUGUAAACCUUUCCUGGGGUGGGUGCUGUCCUCUAUUUUAAGCUAUAAAGGAAGUAUAGAGUAGUAACUGCAAACAGAAUAAUCACUGAGGUUUUAUUUCAGAAUACUACUUUGAAAUAUUAUGUCUAGUACAAAAGUUCCUCCAACCAGAAUGAAUUGGUACAGUAUAACUUCAUGAUCAAGUGGCCUAUUAAACUUCUAAAAUAUUUUUCUCAAAUUCUGUGUUGAGAAGUACGUGCUGUACAGCUGUUACUGCACUCAGAAAGCAUUAUCAUUAUUGCUCUCCCUCCCCUGUUCUCUUUAAAGGCAUUAUCAAGUGGAUGCUUUUAAAGUUAUUUCCUUGUCUGUGCGACGUUAGUAACUCAAAUAGUUUCAUCCUCCAUUUGGCAAAUGUCUGCCUGCAGUGCUUUUAAAGACACCAUCUUAAUUUCAGUCCGAUCUUUGAAUAAUUGUGUAGCUACCAAAACAUCUUUCUAGAUUGCCAGCUCAUGAUAUCAGUCCAAACUGAGUUUUAUCUCUGUGAUAGAAAUUGACAAUAAAGUCCAACAGGGAAACUAAACUUUUAUCAUAUUGGAGCUGAACUUUUGUCUCAAAGCCACAUCAAGUGACCCCUAAAUUGCAUAAUAAGGUUUCUGAGGACAUACCUCAUGCCUGGUAGCAUUAUGGUAAGUUGCAGAGCUUUGCAUAACAACACACAAGUUGUUUCACAGAUCACAAGUUGUGCUGGGAAUAAGCUGCCCUGUAAUCUCUGGGCUACUUUGCAGUAAGGUGCUUAAUUACUCAAAUUGAAAGAGCACCUCAAGCUGUGCCCUUCUUUUUAACUUCUUUCCACAAUUUUUCUUAGAGCAGGAUGUUGAUGUUAUCCGCACAGAUAAGUUGCGGUUCAGUUCUGGAAUUAAGAGGCAUGAAAUGUGAGGCAGCUCAUCAGCAGUUUGUUGGUUGUAUAUCUGAGGAGAGCGCAGGAUGAAAGAAGGGCUGAUGGUGCUGGUGAUUCUGCAAGAGAGGUUGGCUGUUAACUCUGCUAGCCAAGCACAGCGCUUCACCACACUGCUUCCUCACUUCAGCGUCUCACUGAAGUGAAGAAACGCCCCACGGAGUAUCUUAUGUGUUCAUAGAACAGACAGACACGUGUGUACUGUGCAUAUGGCCGUGCAUGUGGAGGAAGUUACUAUCCCCUGUUAAAAUGAGUUUGAUUAGCUUAAAUGUUUUAAAAGUAGAUGUUUGCUCUUCUGUCUUACAUUCAGCUGCUCUAGGGAGGGCUCAGACAAAUGGUUCUGUUGGCAGUCCUGAAGGAAACUGGCACAGAGGAUGGUCAUGCAUUUUUAUCAGCUCAGCUGGGUCUGGAAGACGGCAUCUGCCUGAAAUGAACUGUAGCAUUGAAAAUAUGUUGUUAGUUUUGAGAGUUUUGUGAAUCGAGCAUUUGAGCUGCAGCUCUGAAUCAUGUUUUCUGUAUUGUCAGUUUGUUUAUUCUGACCUUCCAAGAGUUAAGAACCAAUAAAGAAACUGAUUCUGGGAUCUUUAAAUAUGCACAUUCUCAAAUUGAAUUAAAAGUUGCACAGAGGUACUGUAACUUUCUAAUUUGUCAUGCACAAGUUCCUGUCACCUCUUCUACAAUAUAUAUUUGUACUACUAUUAUGCAGUUGUGAAAGUACAAAGAUUUGGUAGGAAAAGAAUAAGUAUGCAGUUUACCAGUGCACCUGUUAUUUUUUUUCUUUGCAGUUUAAUGAGGAGUUAAAGGAUGCAGGCUUUGACAGUAAUUUCAAAGAAAUGUACUGAGCUUGAUAGCUUGACCUAGUUUUCUCUUCUUCUGUGGAGAAACUUCAAAGUCCAGAACUAAGGAAGAAAUUUGCUUUUUUUCUUUUUUCCUUUUGUUUUUUCUUCUUUUUUUUUUUCCUCUUCAAGUGCUGUGUUUGUAUAUAGCUUGUAAGCUUAUCCAAACUAAGGUUUGAAUAAAUGGCCACUCCUAAGACAAACUGCAACUGCAAACUAAUGAAGUAUAAGCUAGGACAAAUUUUACUUCUUUCAGUGCUGUGCUCUCCUAAAGUUUAAAAAAUCCCAGGUAUUUCUCAAGCACUAAUCUUGCAUGCCAUCCUUUGUUUUUAAAAGGAUGCAAAGUUCCUGGUCUUAUGUAGUUCUGUGUUGUGAGAGUUGAUGUUUUAAUUAAACCACUAAUUAUCAUUAAAAUUCUGAUAACAGAAUUUUACUUUAUUUAAAGGAAAAAUAUAUAUAUAAAACCUGUGCUGUAAUAGAUAAAUGUUCACACUCAGCCUGUUGCAUUGGAUAGCCAGACCGUGUUUACCUCCAUCCAUUUUCUGGCAUAUGAUUGAAAAAGCUGUUGAAAGUAGCAUGAUGACACUUCUUAAGCAAAUGGUAAAUAGGGACUUCUUUUAUGAGAAGUGAUAGAAUUUUCUGAUACCAAUAAAAGAUAAUACAUCCCUUGGAAACAGACUAAAUCCCUUUUUAUUCAGCAAACCUUCUAGA